AUUAACUUUAACAAUAGGUUUAUUUUAUGGAUGAGUAUUUGGACUAGAUAUUGGUCAGCUGGUCAAGCUCUAAGCACUGAGGUUCGUUUCAUUUAAUACAACAUGUAGAAAGAUCUGGCCAUGGACUUGAUUAUGUCCACUAUAAAGACAUAUAAAACCAACAAAAGACAUAGUAGUGACUCUAGUGACUGAUGAAUUCCAUUUUAAAACACUUAGAUUACAAAAAUACAGAAAUGGUCUUGUCAAAGUUUAAUAAAAACAUUUCACAAAGUACAGUAAGUAAUGGUUCAAAUCUCCCUAUAAUGUUGGGAGUGGGCCGCGGGUCUUCAUUGCAUUUGAACUCUAGUACUAAGUCUACUGUUAUUUAUGAAAUCUAGGUCAGGUACGAGAAGUUGGAUUAAUUAACGUACGACUAAUACUAGAUCGCAUUUAGAUUGUAAUCUUGGUCUAGUAUUAGAAAGGGGAUAAAUAUUUGCUGUAAAAACAUUAAUGAUGCACCGUAAAUAACUUUAUUAAAUACAAUACCGGGUAAUCAAGAACACAAGGGACAAGAAUUUACAAAGGCAGUAUUACAGAAAUAUUACAUAAGUAAAGCACUACUUAACAUAAUAUAAAAUUAUAUAUACAAUGAAAAUAAAAUAUUCUACCAUUUUGAAAUAUUAAUAAUACCAAAGAAAACUAAAGUGGUGGCCUUUGGUGGUGACGAACAAGAUUGCGGGACCUUUAAGUUCCCGCGUCUGAGCAAAGGCUGUGUAUUGGAGAUCCAUAUGUCCCCAUCAGGCCAUCAUAUACCAGUACACCCUGGAAUUCUCCAUACAGCGUGGUAAAUCUAUUGGGAAAACAUUUCUCCUACACAAUGGCUUGUUAUUACUCAAUAACUCAAUAGUGUUGAAGCCUUUCCAGCAUCUAUGUUAAUUAGAGCGAAGGCUAUUAGUAAGGUAUUAAGCUUACAGUUAGUAUAAGGCCCUUAUUAAGACACUUGUCCAGGGCCUUGCCUACUGCCAAGGCCGCCUCUAAACACUAUAAACAAUAUAUUUUUGUGCCGAAUAAAUUAUUCUCACCAAGCAGAGUAUGUGACUAUGGCCUACAUAAGUACACAGACUCGCUGCUUGUAGGACAAUUGAUUGUGAUCGAUCAUAAUGUUUGUAGUUUCAACUCGAUGAAGUACAGUGGAACCCGAUUAAAAGCAUAUCACAUAAUGGCAAUGUUCGGAUAAUCGUUUACAAUUUUAAACAAUACAAAUGCAUAUUAUAUUCUUUCACUUGGACUCAUUCAGCAGCUCCUUGCAGGCUAGCUAUGCAAUUAAACGAGUUCGAUUGUAUAAGAAUGUCCUUUACAGAGGCAUCGCUAGGACUGUUGAAAUCCGGUAUUGUUAGUUAAAAAUGUGUUACCCCGCCACAGUAAUAUUUUACCAAAAUAUUUUUUUUAUAAAUAUAAACCAUUACUUUUUUCUUUUAAAAUAUUAUCUUCUCUGCACAAGAUAAUAAUAAAUAAAUAACAUACAAUUAAAAAUAACAAAUUUUUAAAAAUUUACUUUUUGUGUCAGGCCCUGUUAAGUGUCACAUGGUACGGUUCGUCCGUACCUCCCCCCCCCCCCCC